UGCCUACGGGAGGCAGCAGUGGGGAAUAUUGAACAAUGGGCGCAAGCCUGAUGCAGCGACGCCGCGUGCGGGAUGGAGGCCUUCGGGUUGUAAACCGCUUUUGUUCAAGGGCAAGGCACGGUCUUUGGCCGUGUUGCGUGGAUUGUUCGAAUAAGCACCGGCUCACUACGUGCCAGCAGCCGCGGUAAUACGUAGGGUGCAAGCGUUAUCCGGAUUUAUUGGGCGGAAAGGGCUCGGAGGCG
rnacentral:rRNA from 1 species